CAGCAGCCGCGGGAAUACGAAGGGGGCUAGCGUUACUCGGAAUCACUGGGCGUAAAGGGUGCGUAGGCGGGUUUUUAAGUCAGAGGUGAAAUCCUGGAGCUCAACUCCAGAACUGCCUUUGAUACUGAAAGUCUUGAGUAUGGGAGAGGUGAGUGGGACUGCGAGUGUAGAGGUGAAAUUCGUAGAUAUUCGCAAGAACACCAGUGGCGAAGGCGGCUCACUGGCCCAUAACUGACGCUGAGGCACGAAAGCGUGGGGAGCAAACAGGAUUAGAGACCCCCGUAGUCCCUGUCUCUUAUAA
rnacentral:rRNA from 1 species